rnacentral:rRNA from 1 species
UUUAAUUGAAGAGUUUGAUCAUGGCUCAGAUUGAACGCUGGCGGCAGGCCUAACACAUGCAAGUCGAGCGGUAACAGAGAGUAGCUUGCUACUCUGCUGACGAGCGGCGGACGGGUGAGUAAUGCUUGGGAAUGUACCUUAUGGUGGGGGACAACAGUUGGAAACGACUGCUAAUACCGCAUAAUGUCUUCGGACCAAAGCGGGGGACCUUCGGGC